CCUGGUCGACCUGCCGUACUCGAAAGUCGACGGCAUCCAGAUGAUCGUCGACGGCUACCACGGCGA
rnacentral:misc_RNA from 1 species